AUUGAACGCUGGCGGCAUGCCUUACACAUGCAAGUCGAGCGGCAGCACGGGUGCUUGCACCUGGUGGCGAGUGGCGAACGGGUGAGUAAUACAUCGGAACAUGUCCUGUAGUGGGGGAUAGCCCGGCGAAAGCCGGAUUAAUACCGCAUACGAUCUACGGAUGACAGCGGGGGACCUUCGGGCCUCGCGCUAUAGGGUUGGCCGAUGGCUGAUUAGCUAGUUGGUGGGGUAAAGGCCUACCAAGGCGACGAUCAGUAGCUGGUCUGAGAGGACGACCAGCCACACUGGAACUGAGACACGGCCCAGACUCCUACGGGAGGCAGCAGUGGGGAAUUUUGGACAAUGGGCGAAAGCCUGAUCCAGCAAUGCCGCGUGUGUGAAGAAGGCCUUCGGGUUGUAAAGCACUUUUGUCCGGAAAGAAAUCCUUGGCUCUAAUACAGUCGGGGGAUGACGGUACCGGAAGAAUAAGCACCGGCUAACUACGUG
rnacentral:rRNA from 1 species